rnacentral:rRNA from 1 species
GACGAACGCUGGCGGCGUGCUUAACACAUGCAAGUCGAACGGAAAGGCCCUGCUUUUGUGGGGGGCUCGAGUGGCGAACGGGUGAGUAACACGUGAGUAACCUGCCCUUGACUUUGGGAUAACUUCAGGAAACUGGGGGUAAUACCGGAUAGGAGCUCCUGCUGCAUGGUGGGGGUUGGAAAGUUUCGGCGGUUGGGGAUGGACUCGCGGCUUAUCAGCUUGUUGGUGGGGUAGUGGCUUACCAAGGCUUUGACGGGUAGCCGGCCUGAGAGGGUGACCGGCCACAUUGGGACUGAGAUACGGCCCAGACUCCUACGGGAGGCAGCAGUGGGGAAUAUUGCACAAUGGGCGGAAGCCUGAUGCAGCAACGCCGCGUGCGGGAUGACGGCCUUCGGGUUGUAAACCGCUUUCGCCUGUGACGAAGCGUGAGUGACGGUAAUGGGUAAAGAAGCACCGGCUAACUACGUG